rnacentral:misc_RNA from 1 species
GAUGAAGAACGCAGCGAAAUGCGAUAAGUAAUGUGAAUUGCAGAAUUCAGUGAAUCAUCGAAUCUUUGAACGCACAUUGCGCCCCUUGGUAUUCCGAGGGGCAUGCCUAUUCGAGCGUCAUUAUCACCCCUCAAGCCUAGCUUGGUGUUGGGGCUUGCUGUAAAGGCAGCCUCUAAAAUCAGUGGCAGUGCUGUCAGGCUCUAAGCGUAGUAAAUUCAUCGCUAUAGGGUCCUGGUGGAUACUCGUCAAAACCCCCCAAUUUUAAUGAUUGACCUCGGAUUAGGUAGGGAUACCCGCUUAACUUAAGCAUAUCAAUAAGCGGAGGA